GGUGUCUCACAAGAUCGUGCCGAUGGGAGAAAUUAUUAAAAGUUUUCAUAAAACUAAAAUACGGAAUUAACACGAAAUAAAAAUGUCUGAAGAGCACUGAAAGUAUCUUUCCUUGACUACCGUGAGCGUGCUUGAUUGAUCCACAUGGAUGUAACGAGAUGACCGGAAUGCUCACAUUGUUUAAACACAUAUGUAAUAUAAGCAAGAACGAGCAUGGAUUCCUAGCAAUGCCACGGGACCAGGAUUAAGCAAAAGUAAAUAUUCAAUUAUAUCUAAAAUUACGUCCAAAUCAUUACGUUUGAUCGUUUAACGACGCGAAUGUAUCUAUAUAAGUGAAUUUACAUUUGUAUUUUCAUCUUCUUUUUCUAUUUAUCUUUAUACUCGUGAAUGUGUGAAUCAGAUUAAUUAACCCUAUACACACACACACACACACAUGUAGAGAUACACAUACAGAACAUGUGUUGAUAUGUUUUAAUUAUUACGAAUGUUUAAACGGAAAACCUCUCUAUAUGUAGGAUGUAUUUAGGGUUAAUAGAUGUAUAUAUAUGUAUAAGUAUAUAAGUGUGUAUAUGUGUGUAUAAUCAUAAAAAUACAUAUAUACAUGUGUGUG